UGGCGACCAAGAAACACUUAAUGUCAACAAGAUUUUCUGAUUGACAAGAGAAAAGGUCAAACAGGACAUUGCAGAGAACACAAUCAUCAGAAGAUGACCCUCAGAAAUAGGACAAUUAAUGAAUAAAAUGGACAGAGGCAGAACUGAAGGAGAUGCAUGAAAGGAGGAAUAUUUCAAAGAUUGCCUGAGCAUAACCACUGCUACUGGAUAAACAUAUGACAAUAUAAAAGAGCAGGGUCAAUGGAGGUAUCAUACAGUAUAGGCCAUGAGAGACCCUGAAGAAGAAAGUAUUGAACAGAAACAAAAAUAAAACCAUUUUGACAUUUAUUGAAAUAUAGGAUCAAAGUCUUACAUGUAAAA